AAGUCAUGUUGAGGGAAAUAUCGUAACAAUCUCUUGUAGCGCUCCCAAGCUUCAUAUAACGACUCCCCCUCUAAUUGUUGGGAAAUUUGGAUAUUCUUCUUCAGCUU